rnacentral:rRNA from 1 species
AUUGAACGCUGGCGGCAUGCUUUACACAUGCAAGUCGAACGGCAGCGCGGGCUUCGGCCUGGCGGCGAGUGGCGAACGGGUGAGUAAUGCAUCGGAACGUGCCCAGUAGUGGGGGAUAGCCCGGCGAAAGCCGGAUUAAUACCCCAUACGACCUGAGGGUGAAAGCGGGGGACCGAAAGGCCUCGCGCUAUUGGAGCGGCCGAUGUCGGAUUAGCUAGUUGGUGGGGUAAAGGCUUACCAAGGCGACGAUCCGUAGCUGGUCUGAGAGGACGACCAGCCACACUGGGACUGAGACACGGCCCAGACUCCUACGGGAGGCAGCAGUGGGGAAUUUUGGACAAUGGGGGCAACCCUGAUCCAGCCAUGCCGCGUGCGGGAAGAAGGCCUUCGGGUUGUAAACCGCUUUUGUUCGGGAAGAAAUCCUCUGGGCUAAUACCCCGGGGGGAUGACGGUACCGGAAGAAUAAGCACCGGCUAACUACGUG